CGAUCCCGUAGGUGAAGAAGCCGGAGGUGGAGGUCAUGUCUGUCUCCCUGCCUGUUAGUAUACAUCACCUCCGAGGUGCUUCUCUCCUUGCUAUGAUACUGGUAACACUUCCUCUGUUGCGUUGCUGUUUUGAUGGGCCCCAGCAUUUAAUAACAUUGACCUGGUCAUCACGCCACUGCUUCGCCACCAUGUCACCACUCUCCAACUGACUGGCCAGGGCUGCCCUGCAGAGACUGCUCCCUAAUGAAGUCAUUUCUCCAAUCCCAUCUGACCCGCCCUUUCCUUCCUUUCCCAACCUACCUUCCCUUUUCAUAAUUUGGUCAGUUAUACUUGGAUGUGUAGGUUGCUAAUCUUGCCAAUGAAAAAAUCAUUAAAGUAGUUGGCAAUAUCAGUGGGUUUUGUAAUGAAUGAGCCAUCUGAUUCAAUUAAUGAUGAGGCCGAGUUUGCCUUUUUGCCCAAAAUGUGUGAUGUUCGGGUUUGUGGGACCCAUAUUCAAUGAUACAAUAAAUUAU